AGAUUGAACGCUGGCGGCAUGCUUUACACAUGCAAGUCGAACGGGCUGUUGGGGCAACCUGGCAGUCAGUGGCGGACGGGUGAGUAAUGCAUCGGAACGUGUCCCGUAGUGGGGGAUAACCCGGCGAAAGCCGGACUAAUACCGCAUAUGCUCUACGGAGGAAAGCGGGGGACCUGAAAGGGCCUCGCGCUAUGGGAGCGGCCGAUGUCCGAUUAGCUUGGUUGGUGGGGUAAUGGCCUACCAAGGCGACGAUCGGUAGCUGGUCUGAGAGGAUGAUCAGCCACACUGGGACUGAGACACGGCCCAGACUCCUACGGGAGGCAGCAGUGGGGAAUUUGGACAAGUGGGGGCAACCUGAUCCAGCCAUGCCGCGUGCGGAAGAAGGCCGUUCGGGUUCGUAACCGUACGUUUAGGUUACGGAAGAAAGGACGACGGACGAACGUACCCGUCGUUCGUUCGACGGUACCGGACGGAACGUAACGACGACCGGACCUAACUACGUCG
rnacentral:rRNA from 1 species